AUGAAAGCCAUGUAGUGUGGCUGAAACGUCGAUCAAAUUUUAAGCAAUUUUAUUCCUUUUAUUUCAUUGCUUAAAACUUGAUCGACGUUUCAGCCACACUACAUGGCUUUC